rnacentral:lncRNA from 1 species
CAGGACGCUGGUUCUGGCUGUCACUUGGAUAGCUAUGUAGUUGGUGGGCAAGUGACUUGCCUUGGGGAAAAUGGCUUUGCCACUAAGAACAUAGGCCCUGGAAUUAGGCAUUUCUGGGCUUGAAUCCUAGUUCUACCCCAGGGAGAAGGCAAUGUUCUAGAUAGAAACUGCUUUAUUGGCCUGGGUUUCUUGGAGCGAAGAAACAUUGAGGAGCAGAUCCCCCAGCUGAUUCAGCAGACGUGCAGCAGAAGCCGACGGAAACCUCUGCUGUUUUAAGGCACUGAGAUUUUGGAGUUGUUUGCUAUCAUAGUGUAAUCUAUCAUCUCCUAACUGAUUCAAUGUGUUUAUCACAAUUAAUUGGUUUUUCUCAGUUUUAAUAACCAUAGAAAUACACAGCUGUCAUUCAGAGCCUCUAACAAGAAAGUGGUGUGACUCAUUAAACUGGUAGCACUCCUGCCAAAACCAAAGCAAUGUGAUCAUUCCAGUAGCAAUUGUUGCAAUAGAACCGUUUUAUUAUUUGUAAGAUAAAUGUAAUUUCUGCUAGGCUUUUUCAGCCUCUGGAUAUAUCUUAGAU